rnacentral:rRNA from 1 species
GAUGAACGCUGGCGGCGUGCCUAAUACAUGCAAGUCGAACGCACAGCGAAAGGUGCUUGCACCUUUCAAGUGAGUGGCGAACGGGUGAGUAACACGUGGACAACCUGCCUCAAGGCUGGGGAUAACAUUUGGAAACAGAUGCUAAUACCGAAUAAAACUUAGUGUCGCAUGAUACAAUGUUAAAAGGCGCUUCGGCGUCACCUAGAGAUGGAUCCGCGGUGCAUUAGUUAGUUGGUGGGGUGAAGGCCUACCAAGACGAUGAUGCAUAGCCGAGUUGAGAGACUGAUCGGCCACAUUGGGACUGAGACACGGCCCAAACUCCUACGGGAGGCUGCAGUAGGGAAUCUUCCACAAUGGGCGAAAGCCUGAUGGAGCAACGCCGCGUGGGCGAUGAAGGCUUUCGGGUCGUAAAGCACUGUUGUAUGGGAAGAACAGCUAGAAUAGGAAAUGAUUUUAGUUUGACGGUACCAUACCAGAAAGGGACGGCUAAAUACGUGUCAGCCGCCGCCGUAA